UCUUGCAAAAUGAAGCUACGUCUGAAUAUGGAUGGGCUUGCCACUGGACAGGAUUUAGCCUUACUUAUAGCCAAUUACAUGGAUUGAGCGUUCCCAAAUCUGUCCCUUUACAAACAAUAUCUCACAAUUUCUGUGAGUGGCGCACAGGCAGAACACCAGUCGCCUUAAACUAUUAAACAUGUUUUCAUGCCAACAUGGGCGAGAAUCGCAUGGCAACAUGCGCUACAGUUGACCGAAGAAGAGCUGCAAACAUUGAUAUGGAUAAGGGCCUCCACGGUGGUCGUGUGGUUUAGCUCCUGCUCUUCUAGAAGCCCCUUCGCCUGGUCUUUCUGCAUUUGCAUCUGAUCGCACUCCUGCUGCAACUGCUGGAUACAUGCCUGCAGCUUAGGCAGCUCAAGAUCCUUCUCGUUCAGGUCUUCAAGGCACCUGGGAAAAAACAUCAGGCUCUCUGGGUCAUGUGCGCUGACUCCAGCUCAUCCGUCAUCCUCAUCCGGAUCUCCUUGUGAGCCAUAGACAGGCGGCAGGAUGC
ensembl:lncRNA